rnacentral:rRNA from 1 species
GUAGGUGGCAAGCGUUGUCCGGAAUUAUUGGGCGUAAAGCGCGCGCAGGUGGUUCUUUAAGUCUGAUGUGAAAGCCCCCGGCUCAACCGGGGAGGGUCAUUGGAAACUGGGGAACUUGAGUGCAGGAGAGGAAAGUGGAAUUCCACGUGUAGCGGUGAAAUGCGUAGAUAUGUGGAGGAACACCAGUGGCGAAGGCGACUUUCUGGCCUGUAACUGACACUGAGGCGCGAAAGCGUGGGGAGCAAACAGGGAUUAGAUACCCUGGUAGUCCACGCCGUAAACGAUGAGUGCUAAGUGUUGGGGGGGUUCCCGCCCCUCAGUGCUGCAGCUAACGCAUUAAGCACUCCGCCUGGGGAGUACGGCCGCAAGACUG